rnacentral:rRNA from 1 species
AUUGAACGCUGGCGGCAGGCCUAACACAUGCAAGUCGAACGAGCGGCGGACGGGUGAGUAAUGUCUGGGAAACUGCCUGAUGGAGGGGGAUAACUCCUGGAAACGGUAGCUAAUACCGCAUACCAUCGGAUGUGCCCAGAUGGGAUUAGCUAGUAGGUGGGGUAACGGCUCACCUAGGCGACGAUCCCUCGCUGGUCUGAGAGGAUGACCAGCCAAACUGGAACUGAGACACGGGCCAGACUCCGACGGGAGGGAGCAGUGGGGAAUAUUGCGCAAUGGGCGCAAGCCUGAAGCAGCCAUGCCGCGGGGAUGAAGGAGGCCUUCGGGUUGUAAAGUACUUUCAGCGGGGAGGCGUUACCCGCAGAAGAAGCACCGGCUAACUUCGGGCCAGCAGCCGCGGUAAUUC